UACAGAGGUCUCAAGCGUUGUUCGGAUUCAUUGGGCGUAAAGGGUGCGUAGGUGGCGCGGUAAGUCGGGUGUGAAAUUUCGGAGCUUAACUCCGAAACUGCAUUCGAUACUGCCGUGCUUGAGGACUGGAGAGGAGACUGGAAUUACGGUGUAGCAGUGAAAUGCGUAGAGAUCGUAAGGAAGACCAGUGGCGAAGGCGGGUCUCUGGACAGUUCCUGACACUGAGGCACGAAGGCCAGGGAGGCAAACGGG
rnacentral:rRNA from 1 species